ensembl:snRNA U2 U2 spliceosomal RNA
AUAAUUUUAAGAUAAGCUUUAAUAAAAAUUUUAAAUCUGUUCUUAUCAGUUUAAAAUCUGAUACGUCCCCAAUGUGGGGACUGCAUAUUAAACACAUUUGUGGAGCAGGGACAUGGGUUAGGGGCUUGUUCCUUCCACUCUGUCCAUCGUCCUGGUAGCAGGAGCUGCUGCCAUCCUCAGGUGGCUCCCC